rnacentral:rRNA from 1 species
UACAGAGGGGGCAAGCGUUGUUCGGAAUUACUGGGCGUAAAGGGCGCGUAGGUGGCCUUCUAAGUUGAACGUGAAAUCCCUGGGCUCAACCCAGGAACUGCGUCCAAGACUGGGAGGCUUGAAUCCGGGAGAGGGAUGCGGAAUUCCAGGUGUAGCGGUGAAAUGCGUAGAGAUCGGGAGGAACACCGGCGGCGAAGGCGGCUGCCUGGACCAGUCCUGACGCUGAGGCGCGAAAGCUAGGGGAGCAAACAGG